CUAACCAUUCCACAGGGUCUUGCCCGAAGCUAAAGUGUUUGAGCCUGUGUAGGUACACGCCUACGUAGAAUAAAAUAAAGUGGCCCAAGCUUGCAUCCAAAAUCCUUCUGUGCAAUGUUGGGAUAAUGUCCAUCAGAGACCAAGGUUACAAAACAUUUGUGUGCUAAUAACUUUCUGGAAAAUUUAAACUUCAGAUUUAUUUUUUUCAAGCUUAGGCUCCCCCUUAAGCCUCCUCCCCCAUUCCAGAUAGAUUAGGAGAGUGGGCAUGAGGAGAGUUUUGGAUUUUUGAUGAAGCCAUUUGUAUUUGAAAACUGGGCACUGAGUUUGCAGAGCAGAAAACGAGAGUUGUCCCUAACGUCUCACUGAGGCAGCAGUGCAUAUAUUCCUAGCUAAACAUGCACUCUACAAAAUGUGUUUUAAGAGAGUCUCUGAGCUUUGUCCAAUUCAUUUUUGCACCCUUACCUCCCUCCACCCUAGUGAUCUAUACUGCUGCUGGGGGAGUGGGGAUCAGGGCAUCAAGGAGCAGCAUAGAUAGGCUUGCCUUCCAUGGAAUAAGGGAUUCCCAUCUUAACAGAUACAGGGAUAUCUGGGGUUGGAAAGCAUUAUCCUCUGGCUGCUUUCUGGACUCCUAAGCCCUUCUUUCAUUGCCCUCUGAAAGCAAUUCCAUAAGAACUAUAUUUUUUCCUGCGCCCUGUACCUGACUGUGGGUAUCUUCAUAGAAGAAUAUUCAGUCAGUUUAGCUAAAUACAUCUGCUCUACAGUCACAACCAGUGCAGUAGAAGUAGAUGUGUUGCUACUGCCUAUUUAUGAUUCAUUUCUUGUAAAAUACCUGUCUCUACCUAGACAGUAGUUGCAACAGCAUUUUUACAAAAAUAUAUUCCCUCCCUCAUCUUAUAUGCACAAUACUGUGGAUUUGGAGCGAUGUAAAUAGUAAUACAGAGAACAGGUAUUGCCUUGGCCGUUUCUCCUUUAAAAGAAAAUAAUACAUUACAAAACCUCAAGACACUGCAACUUCAGAAUUGUCCAGGCUUAAAAUCAGUCCAGAAAUAUAAAGGCUAAAGUUCCAAGAGCAAGGUUAACUCAGCUGGUGCAGAGUUACUGAUGCACAUGAAGUAUGUUCUGUUGUUUCAUUUUUCCCAUUAAAUGUGAAGCUGAAUUUUAUUUAUUUUCAGUGUUUCCCAUAAAAUGUGCUUGAUUGGCACUGCAGCCAAAGCAGUGCAUCUGUUGGCACUUUCACUUUUGUAUUUUUAAAACCCUCCUUUGCUCCUUUUUAAAAAGCAACCUUAAUUCAUUCAUAAAAUAAAGAUUUUUCAUUGGCUAAAACUGGCCAAAAAUUGACUCAGGAUUAAACAAUUCAGAUCUCAGUCGAAUUCAAAAUGCUCAAUAGAAUGGAUAUUGGGAGGAAAAUAUAUAUUUAGAAAAUUGAGUUGGAAAUUCAUUUGUGAAAUGUGUGUGCAAGAUAAUGUAGAAAAUGGAUCCAGUUCAUAAAUGGUUUCAUUUAUUUGUGUGUACAUGUGUGUCUAUGUGAAGUGGAUUGAGUCAGUAAACUGACUGCUAGUAAAUCCUGUUUUAUAGGGCAGGCAGUGACAAAAGACAAUUCCUUUCACUAGAAAGAAGGAUUAUGGAAUUGGUCCAACUCAUGAAAGCAGUAUAAGUAAAUAUUCAUAUGGAGAAAGAACCACUAAUAGCUUGGUGGAGGUGGGGAAUAAUCAGAUAAUAGUAUUUUAAUGACCUAUGAUUACGUUCUUAAUUUCGCCCUUAAUUCUCCCCCCACAUACAUUCCCCAGAAAGCUUCACUCAUCACUAUGCUUUUCUCUCCUAGUUGACUUGUUUUUUUACUGUUAGUGGAAUUUUAAAUGCAAGUCUACAAAACCUGGUUGUUUAACUUGACAGCUUGGAGCUGUCAGCUUGUCUGGGCACCCAUGCUAGGCAACUGGUACAGCUAAUUUUUUUUUUCUGUAGUGUGUGUCAAAUGAUAUGGUCCAUUGGCUGACUUCGGCCUGCUGGUCACGCUCCCCUGGCUUGUACCUGCCUGUGUGCUUGUACCUGCCUGUUACGCACCUGCUUGUUGGUAGUUUACCAGGAGAGAGCAUGAGCCAAAUUCCUUCCUUUUUUCCUACAGACACAAGUGGAUACCAUUUCUUAGCCACUCUUCCCAUGCCCUUGCACUGUGCCUGCUGACCUCAAAGACAGCCAUCAGGAUGCUGAAUGUUUACUUCCUGUGUUCUGAAUUGUUUAUUGUUAAAUAGCUGCCACGUUCCACGCAGAGCCAGCUUGCAGAUGCCUCUAGGAUUUUUAAAUACCCUUUAGCCACCAUCUCUGCCACUGAGAGACACGCCUGUUUGUUGCCUAGGGACUGAGACAGGAUACUGGGCUAGAUGGACCUGUGGUUUGACCCAGAAUAGCAUUUUUUAUGUUCUUAGGAUAAAGGUGUUGGGAACUAUAAAUAGACCUAGACGAAGCAGGAUGUGGGGGAAGACGCUCAGAAUAUACUGUCCUUAAAAAAAAAAAAAAAAAAAAAAGACUAUUAAUAGAACACCUUUAUCCUAAGGCUUUGAUUUGGAGUGGGGAAGAGAGUACACUGUUUUCAGUUCAGUUUUGAUUACCAGCCUGAGGUCUACUCCUUUCUAAUUCCAACAAAAACCUACAUUUGUUAUCCUCAGAAUACAAGUAACUGUAGGGUCUUUCACUGUAUUGUAUGUAAAUGGGUGUCUUCUGUAUAAGGGAUUAUAUAGAUAGAUGCCCUUGUGUUGGUGGCUAGUAUAUGUGGAUUUGCUUAGAUAUAAGUAGCUCAUAGUACUGGCAAAGACCUUCAGGGCUCUUGAGUCUAGCCCCUGCAGUUAUAGGCAGCUGCCACACA